rnacentral:lncRNA from 1 species
CUGGAACCUUAGGCAGCAGAGGAGGCAUGUCAGGAACAAGCAUGAAAGCUGGAGAUGAGACAGCUCAGAUAUCAAGGAAUAUAUGAGGAUGCCAUCAAGAGCAGCAGAAAAUUCAACACCUCGUUUUUUGGACAGAGACAGCCUCUUGGAUUUGUACCAUUGGUACUGCCCGAGACAUUAAAUGGUAAUGAUGCAGUUACCGUUAUUUGCCAAUUGAAGUGAUUCCUGAAGAAGCACAGGGACAUUUAUUUCCAAGCUUUAAAGGCUUUUGUACUUCAUUAUUGGAUUUAGAAAAUAAAGCAGCC